rnacentral:lncRNA from 1 species
GGGCAGGGGGUGGGGGUGAGAUUCGUAGGAGAGGAGGAGGAGCGAAGAGGGCUCUGUUGGUUUUUUUUUUGGGCAGUACGAGUUUUUUCUGUGCUUGAGGACCGUAGGAGCCGGGAUUAAAAGACACGUGGAGACAUCGGUGGCAGAUUCGUAAUUUCGGUGAGGUGACGUAGCGCCGCGACCGUACCAUCACCACCAACUCCAAUUUAAUAUAUUGGUAUAGAGUUUUUUUGGGCGGUACGUGUUUUUUCUGCGCUUGAGGACUGUAGGAGCCGGGAUUAAAAGACACGUGGAGACAUCGGUGGCAGAUUCGUAAUUUCAGUGAAGUGACGUAGCGCUGCGACCGUACCAUCACCACCAACUCCAAUUUAAUAUAUUGAUAUAGAGUUUUUUUUGGACGGU